ensembl:lncRNA
CAGACGGAGAAAGCGUUUAGCGCUACAUUAGCUCAAUUAAGGAAACAAGCUGUGGACACGGACAUGUCGUGAUGUGAUGAUGGCCAGCAUUUGAGAUGGUCACAGCAUCCUGGGUGCAUUCAUUUGAUAAGAGUUUUCAUUCUGACUGACAUGGGAAAGAUUUCUUGUAGACGACGAUCAAAAAGGAGACGAUCAAACUCCAUACAGAGAGAAAAUGACCAGCAAGGAGUCAUCUCCGAUAACGUGAAACAGGAGAGUGAGAUUUCUGAGCACAGCUUCUCUGAGCCGAGACACAAUGAAAAUGAAUCCGAUGUAUUUUCCAACUCACUGAGCCAGAACACUUCUGCUGUGGAUGGAAGUCAUGUUUUUUUUCCAGUUUUUUCCCAUAGUAACGUAGGACAAGUAACGAUCAACAGCACUUACGCAAUAAAUAACAAGUCACCUGAUACCAGGGAGAGAAAUCCAGAAUCUCAGGCUCAGGUAAAAACGAAAAUACUCAAUUAUAUACGUCAGUGAAUUACGUCAGUGAGAAUUUCUGCAGAGUGAUUUAUAGACUCUGUUUUUUGUUUUUGCCACAAAAAAACCCCCAGGAUGGAUCCUCUGACGUUGACGCCUCUGCAACAACUAUUUUAAGGACUCCUAAAAAAUCCAAGAAGUUCAGGAGAAGUCGACGUUCUGCUGCCAGACGAUCUCUCACCCACUUCCGCGGACCACGUGACAUCGUGGGUGAGAUUACUGGAGCUCACGUCACCUCCGAGUAUCACUGCAGUGAUUGCAGAUUCAAAAUUCCUUCCUGGAAACCUUUAUGCUUUAACGUCAAGUGUCCCGGGUGCAAGAUGAGCUGGAAGUGCGAUAAAAUCCAGUGUACUUGCAAAGCUAAAAUAACCCUGGAGCUGCCCAGUGGGCAGACGCAGAGGGUCACGCUGGACGAUUCGCUAAUGCGCUCCAUUGUUAGGUUUAAAACACAGGGCUACUGCAAGACGGAGAGAAUCGAGACGAAGAUUCUGAAGAUUGGGAGCGUGAGAGUGGUGUAUAACGAUGGAGUCUUGAGGAGCGUGAGCAAGAUUUCGUCCAGCUCCAUGUCUCUCCGUGAUAUUCCAGACGCCUUCCCUAGUUUCUGAUUAGGGAUUCUGAAAUCUGGACUCCAGUAUGGUGCUGAAGUCAGUGUUCCAGUUUACCUCAAAGGUGUUCAGUGCGGUUGAGGUCAGGGCUCUGUGCAGGACACUCGAGUUCUUCAACUCCAUCCUUACAGGGGCAUUAUCGUGCUGGAACAGCUUUGGGCCACAGAAAGGAAAGAGGAAGGGAAAUCACACAAACGCAUUCUAUACAACUGUCUGCUUCCAUGUUUGUGGCAGGAGUUUAGGGAAGGACCACAUAUUGGUGUGAUGGUCAGGUGUGACCAUUUUUGACCAUACAAUGUAUAUGUAAACUUUUUCACGUGCCAUAAUAGAAAUAUUUUAUAUGCCUCAUUCAGUAAAAAAGAUGGUGCGUCUGAAAGGAUUUGCGUCUGUUUAAUAGAAGGGAAGAAUAGACAAUAGAGAGUUGACACAAGACAUUCUUAUACAUUUGUAGUUAUUUUAUUAACAUUAUAGCAUUAUAUUAAUUAUAUUAUAAAUACCGUGUGCAGUCUCUUCUGUGUAAAAUGCUUAAACAUUUUGGACUCAAAAAGGCGUUUUAAAAAUGAGAAUUACAUGAAUUACAUUAAAUGACUGUGAAUCAUUUUCUUAUAAUUAACCGUUGCACUGUUCGAGUCUUUAACCAACAUGUUUAACAGGUUUAGCCUCCAAGUCAUCCACAAUAUAAUCCACAAUAUAAUCUGUUAUUCGCCAUUAAAGUCAUUAAAU